rnacentral:misc_RNA from 1 species
GCCACGUCAUCCCAACAACCAUUUAAACGUGAGCGGGCCCCAUGUAUUCCCAAUCACGAAGGCAAACAGAUUUUCUCUCCUCUUAGCUUUCCCCCGCCACACGAAAUAGUUCGUCGACGACUCAGUCUAUCCACGACUCCGAUUUCCUGCCUGACGCAAACCGCUUCAUUCCACCCAAACCAAUCGGUUCAGCCCCCACCGCCGGUUCAUAGCCGUCACUUCCUACGCUCGUUCUUGGCGGCGCAUCUCUCUCGCCCGGUGGUAGCCGGUCCCUGAUGUCAAUCUUCUUCUUCGUCGA